GCCGGUGUGGUGGAAUUGGUAGACACAGGGGACUUAAAAUCCCCCGGCAGCGAUGUUAUACCGGUUCGAGUCCGGUCACCGGCACCA
rnacentral:tRNA from 1 species